rnacentral:rRNA from 1 species
UACGUAGGUGGCGAGCGUUUGUCCGGAUUUAUUGGGCGUAAAGGGCGCGCAGGUGGUGCGGUAAGGCUGCCGUGAAAUCUCCCGGCUCAACUGGGAGGGUGCGGUGGCGACUGCCGGACUGGAGGCACUCAGAGGCCGGUGGAAUUCCCGGUGUAGUGGUGAAAUGCGUAGAUAUUGGGAGGAACACCAGUGGCGAAGGCGGCUCACUGGACUGGUACUGACGCUGAGGCGCGAAAGCGUGGGGAGCAAACGGG